GGAAGGGUAGCGAAGAGGCUAAACGCGGCGGACUGUAAAUCCGCUCCUUCGGGUUCGGGGGUUCGAAUCCCUCUCCUUCCA
rnacentral:tRNA from 5 species